rnacentral:rRNA from 1 species
CGGUGUGAAUUGCAGAAUCCCGUGAACCAUCGAGUCUUUGAACGCAAGUUGCGCCCGAAGCCAUUAGGCUGAGGGCACGUCUGCCUGGGUGUCA